UGACCCAAAUGAUCAGGAAAACAUUACAUCGCAACAUACCUAACCUAAAAACAGCACCAAGCAACAGGUACACAGUCAAAUCCCUGUUACCCACAGCCAAAGAUCCCCUCCUUCAGAUGCAGAAAAACAACAUUAUUUACAAAAUAGCAUGUUUUAACUGUGACCAAUACUAUAUCGGAAUGUCACGAAACCAGUUAAAAACACGUAUGUAUGGACACCAAUCUCUGAUUAACAAAUUAGAUCAGAGACUAGCAGAUGGUCAAAAAUAUGACGAUAAUCAAAUACAAGAGCUAAAAGAGAGAACCGCUCUCAUGGAACAUUGCAUCUCACACCAACACCGUUUCGAUCUAAAAAACCCCACAAUUAUUGACACCAGCUUCAAAUCCAGUGCUCUCCCGAUCUUAGAGAUGUGUCACAUCUCGACUACUCCCCACACAGUCAACCGCCGUACAGACACCGACAACCUAAACAGCGCCUACGCAAACAUCCUGGAUUCCAUUAGAAAAAUGAGAGAGAUCGAUACUCGAAACACGAUCACUCUCUAACAAGUAAACACCACUAAUACCCACCCAAAAUAGAUUCGAACCAUUACUACUGCUUAUAGUGACCAAGUGCGAGUUCUCAAGGAAUUGUUUUAUUCAAUUGGAGCGAUUUUUAAAUCCAUUUUAGACCGACAAACUCGAUGAGUAAACUCCGUAAGUUAUACUGUCUCAUUGCUACCAAAAUCCAUACUAUACGAUCCCCCAAACUAUGAUAUGUCCCACAGUGAAAACACCCGAUGUUAACCCUCUCAGACCUGACAGUUUACCGUAUGCAAAACGAACCGUGACAUUGUCGAAUAUUGUCGAGUGAGUAGCACUUCGCGAACAUUAUGUUUUUAUGUUUAUUUGUGUAAUACAUGUAAUACAACAGUUAUUUUCCGCAAUAAAUUAGGCCCUGAAGAAGAUCCCAACCACGGAUCGAAACGUCGGCGAAGAUAAGUUAGAAUCGACGCAAAUUCUUACGUGACUGCACUGCCGAAAACAUUCUCCGUUCUUACAAUUUACACAGUCGAAAAGAAUCAAUUUACCUCGAAGUAUGGCUAUCAUUGAACAAACAUCAUUCUACGCACAAAUCGGUCAUAAGUAUGGACAACCCACGCUACAACUAUUAAAAACAUACGCUAGCGCCAACCAAAAGCUCGGAAACAUGAUAAACAGGAAGAUUUUCCUUGUCAAAUGCAGAAAAAACGGAGUUUUCCCUCAACACAUCCAAUGCGGGUUGAAAUGCACAUACGAGCUCCUGGCCAGGCGAAGUCCAUUCUGCAAAAAGUUCGACAAUGCUAUUCAAAGUCUUCAUAAAACCCUCCUUAACAUCGAGAUCCAAGACACGUUCCAUAAUAUUGAAACGCUUAAAAAUAACAUCACCGUCCUCAAACAACAAAUUAUUGACCACACGUCUCCUGAAACAUACAAAUACUACUUCUACACACAAGAAUUCGCCUACUACAGGAACUAUCAACGCAAGGUUGACAAAACACACCAGAAAUACCGCCGCAUAUUCCACAUUUCGGAACAACAAUCCCAACAUAAACUACCGACAUACAACGAAACUGCCGUACUCAAUGCCACUAAUAUAAAAAUACCCACCGAAGUAAACACGCUUUUAAGUCUUGGACCAAAGUACGCAUUACCGAACCCCAGGAUAAACAAAAUACCGUUUUUCCAUCUCAUUGCCGAUGUAGAGAACAUCCUAGCAAUACACAUAGACAAAAACAUACGCGAGCAGACAAGGUGCCAGAUUAUAAACCACAUUCAAAAUUUCAUUACCCGUUCAAACCACAACAAUACAAGGAGUCCACUCGAAAAGUUUUGCGAUAAGGCGGUCAUCAAAACGAACAAAUUCCUGAAAGAAAACCCGGACGUCCUCAUUACUGAAGCAGAUAAAGGCAAUAAGACCGUAAUAAUGUAUAUAGAAGACUACAACACCAAAAUGAAACAGCUACUCACUGAUGAACAUAUUUACCAACCCUUAAAAGCAGAUCCAACAUCCAAAUAUCAACGUCAAAAUAACAAUAUAGUCCAGAGAAUGUUCCAACUCCACAUCAUCGACAGCCAAACAAAACAUCGAUUAACCAGUUACAAUGCAACCUGUCCACGAAUUUACGGUCAACCCAAAGCGCAUAAACCACACCUGCCUUUACGUCCAGUAGUGCCUAACGUGACAUCACCUACAUACCAGCUCGCCAAACAUAUCUCCAACAUCCUUCAACAAUCUCUACACUGCUUGUACAAUGCAAAAGACUCCAUAAGUUUUUGUCAUUACGUAAAUAGUCUAAAAGUACCACCCGAACACCUUCUCGUGUCUUUCGAUGUAGUGUCUUUGUUUACCAAUAUUCCUAAAGACUUGGUUAUACACGACAUUAUUAUGAUGUGGGACAACAUAAAGCUACACACAGACAUCAACCUGGAUCUAUUUCUAGAAAUAGUUGAAUUCCUGAUAGACACAAGUUUUUUCUGCUUCCGUGGUCAAUACUACCACCAAAGGUUUGGAACAGCUAUGGGUAGUCCCCUAUCGCCCAUACUCGCAGAUAUAGUGAUGGAGAACUUGAUCUCAACCGUUAUUAAAAUCGCUAAUAUCCCUCCCGAACAUAUCAGAAAAUACGUUGAUGACCUUUUCUUACUCAUCCACAAAAAUAAAUUACAAGAAAUACUAGACACCUUCAACAAUUAUAAUAAACACAUUCAAUUUACGUGUGAAGUCGAACAAGCAGGAAAACUACCAUUUUUGGAUCUCCUGGUCAUACGAAUGGAUGACAACACUAUAAAAACUGAUUGGUAUGCCAAACCAAUAUCAUCCGGACGACUUUUAAAUUUCAAUUCAUUUCACCCGAUGGAUCAGAAAGUCGGGUUAACCACCAAUUACAUCAACCGGGUCCGUCAACUUAGCACUGUUCGCAGCAUUGAUCAACAAAAUAUAGUCAUCACCGAUCAUCUCAUACGCAAUGACUACCCCAUAAAGUUCAUCAAUCGCAUGCUACAUCAAUCACCGAACAAUAAUAUCAACGAAGUCCCGCAGUCAGAACCAACCAUAUACAAACCUAUACCUUUCAUCCAUGGACUGACCCAAAUGAUCAGGAAAACAUUACAUCGCAACAUACCUAACCUAAAAACAGCACCAAGCAACAGGUACACAGUCAAAUCCCUGUUACCCACAGCCAAAGAUCCCCUCCUUCAGAUGCAGAAAAACAACAUUAUUUACAAAAUAGCAUGUUUUAACUGUGACCAAUACUAUAUCGGAAUGUCACGAAACCAGUUAAAAACACGUAUGUAUGGACACCAAUCUCUGAUUAACAAAUUAGAUCAGAGACUAGCAGAUGGUCAAAAAUAUGACGAUAAUCAAAUACAAGAGCUAAAAGAGAGAACCGCUCUCAUGGAACAUUGCAUCUCACACCAACACCGUUUCGAUCUAAAAAACCCCACAAUUAUUGACACCAGCUUCAAAUCCAGUGCUCUCCCGAUCUUAGAGAUGUGUCACAUCUCGACUACUCCCCACACAGUCAACCGCCGUACAGACACCGACAACCUAAACAGCGCCUACGCAAACAUCCUGGAUUCCAUUAGAAAAAUGAGAGAGAUCGAUACUCGAAACACGAUCACUCUCUAACAAGUAAACACCACUAAUACCCACCCAAAAUAGAUUCGAACCAUUACUACUGCUUAUAGUGACCAAGUGCGAGUUCUCAAGGAAUUGUUUUAUUCAAUUGGAGCGAUUUUUAAAUCCAUUUUAGACCGACAAACUCGAUGAGUAAACUCCUGAAAACACCCGAUGUUAACCCUCUCAGACCUGACAGUUUACCGUAUGCAAAACGAACCGUGACAUUGUCGAAUAUUGUCGAGUGAGUAGCACUUCGCGAACAUUAUGUUUUUAUGUUUAUUUGUGUAAUACAUGUAAUACAACAGUUAUUUUCCGCAAUAAAUUAGGCCCUGAAGAAGAUCCCAACCACGGAUCGAAACGUCGGCGAAGAUAAGUUAGAAUCGACGCAAAUUCUUACGUGACUGCACUGCCGAAAACAUUCUCCGUUCUUACAUACA